CCUACGGGUGGCAGCAGUGAGGAAUAUUGGUCAAUGGGCGCGAGCCUGAACCAGCCAAGUCGCGUGAGGGAAGACGGCCCUACGGGUUGUAAACCUCUUUUGCCGGGGAGCAACGGGCGCCACGUGUGGCGCCACUGAGAGUACCCGGAGAAAAAGCAUCGGCUAACUCCGUGCCAGCAGCCGCGGUAACAGGGAGGAUGCGAGCGUUAUCCGGAUUGAUUGGGUUUAAAGGGUGCGUAGGCGGAGCGGUAAGUCAGCGGUAAAAGCACGGGGCUCAACCCCGGCGAGCCGUUGAAACUGGCGGGCUAGAGUUGGAGAGAGGUACGCGGAAUGCGCGGUGUAGCGGUGAAAUGCUUAGAUAUCGCGCAGAACCCCGAUUGCGAAGGCAGCGUACCGGCUCCACACUGACGCUGAGGCACGAAAGCGUGGGUAUCGAACAGGAUUAGAUACCCCUGUAGUC
rnacentral:rRNA from 1 species